UUUUCCCUUUUCUUUUUCUUCUCUUCAUCGCCGAACCCGUGCCCUAAUCCUCCCGAUCGUUGUCCCUUCUUCUCCCUCACGUGGCGUUGAACCCGAUCACCUUCCCCUCUUGCGACAUCUCUUCUCCCUCGCCUACAAAACCACCGACCUCCUCUUCGUCUUCCCAAUUCCUCUGCCCUAACUUCCACCUGAGUUUUCCUCACCCCUGAUCUCAUGCCACCCACUUUUGAGUGACCUCCUCCUAUCGCCGCUGCCACCUGAGGUCGCACCACCGUUUGCCGAUCGCCGGGCAUCGACGCCGAUAGCCUCUGCCCUGGUUUCCCCUGAUUAUCUCAUUUCUCUUCCGAUCUCCUCUUCGCAACCACUUUCCCUCUACCCUAACUCUCGAUCCACUACUGACGAGUGCUGGUCUUCCCGAUCCAAGGCGCCACCUCUGCACGAGUUGGGCUUCAACCAGGGGUAAAGAUCCAAGCCCUUGCUGCACCCGUGCCCUAGACCUCACCACCGGGUCUUCCUUCUUCACCAUCAGUCGCCAGCAGAGAAGAAACGAGGGGUAUCGAGUUAGUGGUUCCUGGGCAUAGACAGCCACAAAUCUUUGACAAUGAUAUCUUUCGGCAAGCAUUUCUUCAACAGUUGGUUUACCUGUCGGUGGACCAACGGAAGCUGCUUGAGUUGAGAACUUUGAUUCAAUACGAGCAUCUCGACGUGGGGUCUAUUUCGGAGACGAUCUCCAAUUUUUGAGGCGGG